rfam:Rachicladosporium sp. CCFEE 5018 unplaced genomic scaffold Supercontig_13, whole genome shotgun sequence.
UCAGCUCUCUUUGCCUUUUGGCUUAGGUAUGUCCCCUUUCCAUCCGCCAAACAUCGAGCCACUGCUAACGAUAAGAUGCAGAUCAAGUGUAGUAUCUGUUCUUUUCAGUUUAAUCGCUGAAACUCGACUACGGUCGAUUUACGAUUAUCCUUAUUUUUCGCACUUGCGAGGUGCUCCCUGAGCUUGCUCAUAGUAUCCACGCACCGUGUCCUUGGCCUUACACUACCGCCUUGUGACGCAAACCCUU